rnacentral:lncRNA from 1 species
UUUGUCUUUUUUAAUACUAAUCAGCCACAAUCUGGGUAAUACCUCAUUCACCUUUUUCUUUAAUUUUAAAUUUUUAACUUUCUUGGGUACAUAGUGUAUAUGCUUAUGGGGUGCAUAAGAUAUUUUGAUACAGGAAUACAAUGCAUAAUAAUCACAUCAGGGUAAAUGAGGUACCCAUCACCUCAAGCAUUUAUCCUUUGUGUUACAAAAAUCCAAUUAUCCUCUUAGUUAUUUUUAAAUGCACUGUUAAUUUAUUUUAUUUUACUUUAUUUUUAGACAGAGUCUUGCUCUGCCGCCAGGCUGGAGUUCACUGGCACGAUCUUGGCUCACUGCAACCUCUGCCUCCCAGGUUCAAGCUAUUGUCCUGCCUCAGCCUCCGGAGUAGCUGGGAUUACAGGCAUGUGCCACCACUCCCAGCUAAUUUUUGUAUUUUUAGUAGAGACGGGGUUUCACCAUGUUGGCCAGGAUGGUCUCGAU